GGAUUAGAUACCCUGGUAGUCCACGCCGUAAACGAUGAGCACUAGGUGUUGCGGGUAUUGACCCCUGCAGUGCCGACGCAAACGCAUUAAGUGCUCCGCCUGGGGAGUACGGCCGCAAGGCUAAAACUCAAAGGAAUUGACGGGGGCCCGCACAAGCGGUGGAGUAUGUGGUUUAAUUCGACGCAACGCGCAGAACCUUACCCGGGUUUGACAUUGAUGGAAUCUUCCAGAGACGGAAGAGUACCCCUUUUGGGGACCUGAAAACAGGUGCUGCAUGGCUGUCGUCAGCUCGUGCCG
rnacentral:rRNA from 1 species